UUUCUCUGAAUUACAAAACCCCAAGGGGCUCAGGACACACGCCCUGCCCCCAGGGCCCACGGAGGGAUCCCCGGCCCACGCCUUCCGGUUCCCACGGCUUCCUGAGGCCGCACCGGCCCGGCGGCUGGGGCUUCGCAGGGCUCACCGGGGGCAGGACCCCGAGAGCCUCGGCAUGUACCUGAGCGCAGGCAGAGCUUCUCUCUGGAGAGGGUUCAAGGACCAAGGAAAGGAAAUAGAAACAUCAGUGAUGAGAGAUUGAUGGACGCUGCCUCCUGCACGCCCCCCACUGGGGAUGGAGCCCACGACCCGGGCCUGUGCCCUGACUGGGAUCGAACCCUGACCUCCUGGUUCACAGGUCAACGCCCAACCCCUGAGCCACACCGGCCCGGCUCCAGCCAUGUUCCACGCAUCAUUUUUGCAAGGAUUCUGACGUGUGUCCCUGCUUUUUUCACUUCACAUAGAACACGUCUCUGUCUUGAAAAACUCACAUCAUUCAAAUAAAGCCUGGCUAUUUCGUCACGUG